UUUAAAUUAUUUACAAAGUUCUGUUCUUGUUUUUACGUUACUUCAAACUGAUUUUCAAAGCAACUCAUGAAAAAUUGAUGAGUACAUGUUCGAAAAUGAACGGCUACGACUUUUUUCGAGCUUUUGCUUGCAUGAAAAAACAAAGAAAACAAUUGCAUAUUUUAUUAGCAGGAAGAGAACUUUUUUCGCUUCCGGUCAGCUGCCAGCCAAAAAUAAUAGACACGUGAAUCCGUUUGUGAUAACUAUCGGGAAAACGAGACACGUACCCAUCUCUAAUCGGGCAGAAGCACAAGGUGUGCUUUGGCCACGAACAACAACAUCAAGUAACGGCUACAACGAACGACCCAAAGAGCCGGCAACGAAAGCAAAAACCAACAACAACAACAAUAACAACAACAACAGCAGCAGCAGCAAAAAGACGACAACAAGAAAAUCGUACGAUUUUCGCUGCUUUUGUUUCUUCACAGCUAAUUCGCUGCGGCGCUUUCGGCGCUGACGUAAACAGCGACGCUGGCGCCGGCAUCGCGAAACUAUGGACCGUACAAAGGAAUAUCGAUAAUGCAAAACGUGCUGUUAUCGACAUCCUCGAUGGCUCAAGUGCAAUGAGGCAUACAUAUGCAAAUGUAAGUGUGUAUGUGUAUGUGUAUGUGUGCAUAUAGAGCGUUGCACUUGAAAUGUCUGCAGCUAUUCAGAACGAGCAUUGGUUUUGCGCCCCUCCAACUGCCACCCCCCCCUGAUUGGAUCUCUUCCACAGCCCACGCAGCGAGACGUCAGCUGUGCUUGAGCUGUUUUGCAUGAAUGAACGCGAAGGCGAAGGCGACGGCGAGGGCAUUGGUAUCUGGGUGCGGAUGCGGGUAAACGGGUAAACGGGUAAACCAAAGAGCUCACCUUGGCCACCUCAAUGUGACUGUCGAUUUCUAUGCGAUGCACGAACGGAUUGAUGUAGCUGUAACCCUUUGAUGCCCAGGUGUCCUCCUCGGAGUCGCGCUUGGACAUGUUGCUGCUGAUGCUGAUGCUAUUGUUGGGCAACGCGCUGCUGCUGCUGCCGCUGCUGCUUCUGCUUCUGCUACUUCGAGUGCUGCUGUUGUUGUCGUUGUCAUUUUCCAGGCCAUCCCCAUCGUUCGAUGCGCGUGCAUCGUGCGGAGAGCGACGUCGUUUAAUUGAGGAAGUUGUCAUUGCUUACACGUACAUUCACUUGCUAAUAACACUUGCAAAAUAUUA